AUUGAACGCUGGCGGCAGGCCUAACACAUGCAAGUCGAGCGGAUGAGUGGAGCUUGCUCCAUGAUUCAGCGGCGGACGGGUGAGUAAUGCCUAGGAAUCUGCCUGGUAGUGGGGGACAACGUUUCGAAAGGAACGCUAAUACCGCAUACGUCCUACGGGAGAAAGUGGGGGAUCUUCGGACCUCACGCUAUCAGAUGAGCCUAGGUCGGAUUAGCUAGUUGGUGAGGUAAAGGCUCACCAAGGCGACGCUCCGUAACUGGUCUGAGAGGAUGAUCAGUCACACUGGAACUGAGACACGGUCCAGACUCCUACGGGAGGCAGCAGUGGGGAAUAUUGGACAAUGGGUGAAAGCCUGAUCCAGCCAUGCCGCGUGUGUGAAGAAGGUCUUCGGAUUGUAAAGCACUUUAAGUUGGGAGGAAGGGCAGUAAGUUAAUACCUUGCUGUUUUGACGUUACCAACAGAAUAAGCACCGGCUAACUUCGUGCCAGCCGCCGCCGUAACAC
rnacentral:rRNA from 1 species